AGGGCGAGAAGGGAAGUCCUGGCACCCCUGGCCUGCCUGGAUUCCUGGGCCAGAAGGGAGAAAAAGGAGAUUCAGGCAAUGGCAUUGGAGGAGGCCGAGGGGAACCAGGGCCCCCAGGAAUACCAGGACCACCAGGACCAAAGGGAGAAGCUGGCACUAGUGGUCAGACCGGGCCUCCUGGGAGGCAGGGAGAUAAGGGGGAGAUCGGAGCACCCGGAGAACAGGGACCCAUUGGCCCAAAGG